CAGUAGCCGCGGGAAAACGUAGGGUGCGAGCGUUAAUCGGAAUUACUGGGCGUAAAGCGUGCGCAGGCGGUUCGUUAAGACAGAUGUGAAAUCCCCGGGCUUAACCUGGGAACUGCAUUUGUGACUGGCGAGCUAGAGUAUGGCAGAGGGGGGUAGAAUUCCACGUGUAGCAGUGAAAUGCGUAGAGAUGUGGAGGAAUACCGAUGGCGAAGGCAGCCCCCUGGGCCAAUACUGACGCUCAUGCACGAAAGCGUGGGGAGCAAACAGGAUUAGAUACCCGCGUAGUCCCUGUCUCUUAUAC
rnacentral:rRNA from 1 species